rfam:Streptococcus pseudoporcinus LQ 940-04 Contig1216510612, whole genome shotgun sequence.
CCAACUAUUCCGUUAGUUGAGCCGAGUAUCGACUGCACUUAGGUGUGGUAAGCCGAUAUUAAAGUAGCCCUACUUGAGGUAAAACCGUGAGGAAAUACCGAAACUGCCAGCAACAAGGUGGUUAGGGAG